CUAGGAGUUGACAAUUUAUUUUAGAAUUGUUCUGAGAUGGAGCAGGGUUUUUCUCCAAGCUUGGAUUGUUUUGCCUUACAUCAUUAUAAACAUAGAACUUGGCAACAAAUAUGAAGCAUAUGAGGUUGAGUAAGCUUAAUACUACCAUGAAAGCAUAAUAGUAAUCUAAACGAGAGAUGUUUAGAUUAUUCAAAAUCCAACCUUUGUGACCAUGUCUUUGAGUGAUAUCAGCAACAGUUGACAGAAUGAAGGCACUAACAAAACCUCCCAAACCCAAGCUUGUUGUGGAAAGUGAUGCUCCAAGACUUUUCAUGCCUUCUGGUGCUUGAUCAUAAAAAAACUCCAUCUUAGCAAUUUCAACAAAGCUAUCA
rnacentral:lncRNA from 1 species